rnacentral:lncRNA from 10 species
UCCUUUAAGGAUCUUUCCAAAGGUCUUCAAUUUUGAUAUAAGCAACAAAGAAUAAGAGGGUAAGGUGCCAGAAUGCUCAUAAACUUGACCAGUACAAGGAUGUUGUCAGAGGUGGUGUGGGAAGCAAAAUUGUGGAUCAGGUGCUGAAAUGAUUAAAGAAGAUGGAAGACUGAGCUGACGACAGUAUGCAUUAAUUAAUGGAAAGGGGCUAUUAGAUCAGAAAUAUUCCAUGAAGAAGGGAGCAAAGAUUCAUGUCACUGACAACUGGAGAAGAAACAGAGAAAGGGUACUCAUGAUGUGUGACAAAUGGCAUGCCUCCUGCAAGAGUUAUGAGUUAUGUGCCUAAACAGGAAGGAUCAUCUCAUUGCAGAAUUAGGGCAUCAUCCAGUGGGAAGGGAGUUUCAAGGUCAUUUAGUCCAGCCUCCGAGUGAUACAGAAAUUCUCUUUGCAGCAUCCCUAUCACGUGGCCAUCAAACUUCUACUAGUGUAUUCAUCCACACCUGGUCUGUCUAAAACCUUGAGAACAGCCCCUUGUAUAGUUCAAUAGCCCCAGCUGAAGGAAAAGUUUUUGUUAUUUUCAGUAAACAUAUUCUGUUGUGUAAC